UACGUAGGGUCCGAGCGUUGUCCGGAAUCAUUGGGCGUAAAGCGCGUGUAGGCGGUCCGGUAAGUCCGCUGUGAAAGUCGAGGGCUCAACCCUCGAAUGCCGGUGGAUACUGUCGGGCUUGAGUACGGGAGAGGCGAGUGGAAUUCCUGGUGUAGCGGUGAAAUGCGCAGAUAUCAGGAGGAACACCGAUUGCGAAGGCAGCUCGCUGGAACGUUACUGACGCUGAGACGCGAAAGCGUGGGGAGCAAACAGG
rnacentral:rRNA from 1 species